rnacentral:rRNA from 1 species
UUUUACGGAGAGUUUGAUCCUGGCUCAGGAUGAACGCUGGCGGCGUGCUUAACACAUGCAAGUCGAACGGUGAAGCAGAGCUUGCUCUGUGGAUCAGUGGCGAACGGGUGAGUAACACGUGAGCAACCUGCCCCUGACUCUGGGAUAAGCGCUGGAAACGGCGUCUAAUACUGGAUACGAGCAACGGCCGCAUGGCCAGUUGUUGGAAAGAUUUUUUGGUUGGGGAUGGGCUCGCGGCCUAUCAGCUUGUUGGUGAGGUAAUGGCUCACCAAGGCGUCGACGGGUAGCCGGCCUGAGAGGGUGACCGGCCACACUGGGACUGAGACACGGCCCAGACUCCUACGGGAGGCAGCAGUGGGGAAUAUUGCACAAUGGGCGGAAGCCUGAUGCAGCAACGCCGCGUGAGGGAUGACGGCCUUCGGGUUGUAAACCUCUUUUAGCAGGGAAGAAGCGAAAGUGACGGUACCUGCAGAAAAAGCGCCGGCUAACUACGUGCCAGCAGCCGCGGUAAUACGUAGGGCGCAAGCGUUAUCCGGAAUUAUUGGGCGUAAAGAGCUCGUAGGCGGUUUGUCGCGUCUGCUGUGAAAUCCCGAGGCUCAACCUCGGGCCUGCAGUGGGUACGGGCAGACUAGAGUGCGGUAGGGGAGAUUGGAAUUCCUGGUGUAGCGGUGGAAUGCGCAGAUAUCAGGAGGAACACCGAUGGCGAAGGCAGAUCUCUGGGCCGUAACUGACGCUGAGGAGCGAAAGGGUGGGGAGCAAACAGGCUUAGAUACCCUGGUAGUCCACCCCGUAAACGUUGGGAACUAGUUGUGGGGUCCAUUCCACGGAUUCCGUGACGCAGCUAACGCAUUAAGUUCCCCGCCUGGGGAGUACGGCCGCAAGGCUAAAACUCAAAGGAAUUGACGGGGACCCGCACAAGCGGCGGAGCAUGCGGAUUAAUUCGAUGCAACGCGAAGAACCUUACCAAGGCUUGACAUAUACGAGAACGGGCCAGAAAUGGUCAACUCUUUGGACACUCGUAAACAGGUGGUGCAUGGUUGUCGUCAGCUCGUGUCGUGAGAUGUUGGGUUAAGUCCCGCAACGAGCGCAACCCUCGUUCUAUGUUGCCAGCACGUAAUGGUGGGAACUCAUGGGAUACUGCCGGGGUCAACUCGGAGGAAGGUGGGGAUGACGUCAAAUCAUCAUGCCCCUUAUGUCUUGGGCUUCACGCAUGCUACAAUGGCCGGUACAAAGGGCUGCAAUACCGCGAGGUGGAGCGAAUCCCAAAAAGCCGGUCCCAGUUCGGAUUGAGGUCUGCAACUCGACCUCAUGAAGUCGGAGUCGCUAGUAAUCGCAGAUCAGCAACGCUGCGGUGAAUACGUUCCCGGGUCUUGUACACACCGCCCGUCAAGUCAUGAAAGUCGGUAACACCUGAAGCCGGUGGCCUAACCCUUGUGGAGGGAGCCGUCGAAGGUGGGAUCGGUAAUUAGGACUAAGUCGUAACAAGGUAGCCGUACCGGAAGGUGCGGCUGGAUCACCUCCUUUCUA